rnacentral:misc_RNA from 1 species
UCUCCGUUGGUGAACCAGCGGAGGGAUCAUUACUGAGUUACCGCUCUACAACCCUUUGUGAACAUACCUAACUGUUGCUUCGGCGGGCAGAGGUCCCUCGCGGAUCUCUCCCGGCAACGCCCUCACGGGCGGAGCGCCCGCCGGAGGAUACCAAACUCUAUUUUAACGACGUUUCUUCUGAGUGGCACAAGCAAAUAAUUAAAACUUUUAACAACGGAUCUCUUGGUUCUGGCAUCGAUGAAGAUCGCAGC